CCUACGGGUGGCAGCAGUGAGGAAUAUUGGUCAAUGGCCGCAGGGCUGAACCAGCCAAGUCGCGUGAGGGAUGACGGUCCUAUUGAUUGUAAACCUCUUUUGUCAGGGAGCAAAGGGCGCCACGUGUGGCGUUUUGCGAGUACCUGAAGAGAAAGCAUCGGCGAACUCCGGGCCAGCAGCCGCGGUACUACGGGGGAGGCGAGCGUUAUACGGAUUGAUUGGGUUAAGGGGGUGGCCAGGCGGAAUGUCAAGUCAGCGGUAAAAUUUCGGGGCUCAACCCGGUCGUGCCGUUGAAACUGGCGUUCUUGAGUGAGCGAGAGGUAUGCAGAAUGCGUGGUGUAGCGGUGAAAUGCAUAGAGAUCACGCAGAACUCCGAUUGCGAAGGCAGCACACCGGCGCUCAACUGACGCUCAUGCACGAAAGCGUGGGUAGCGAACAGGAUUAGAUACCCGAGUAGUC
rnacentral:rRNA from 1 species